UACGAAGGGGGCUAGCGUUGCUCGGAAUCACUGGGCGUAUAGCGCACGUAGGCGGCUUACUAAGUCAGGGGUGAAAUCCUGGAGCUCAACUCCAGAACUGCCUUUGAUACUGGUAAGCUCGAGUCCGGGAGAGGUGAGUGGAACUGCGAGUGUAGAGGUGAAAUUCGUAGAUAUUCGCAAGAACACCAGUGGCGAAGGCGGCUCACUGGCCCGGUACUGACGCUGAGGUGCGAAAGCGUGGGGAGCAAACAGG
rnacentral:rRNA from 1 species